rnacentral:rRNA from 1 species
AUUGAACGCUGGCGGCAGGCCUAACACAUGCAAGUCGAGCGGAGCGGCGGACGGGUGAGUAAUGCCUAGGAAUCUGCCUGGCAUUGGGGGAUAACGUCCGGAAACGGGCGCUAAUACCGCAUACAAUCAGACGAGCCUAGGUCGGAUUGGUUAGUUGGUGGGGUAAGGGCAUACCAGGGCGACGAUCCGUAACUGGUCUGAGGGGAUGAUCAGUCACACGGGAACUGAGACACGGUCCAGCCUCUUAGGGGGGGAAGAAGGGGGGAAUAUUGGACAAUGGGCGAAGGCCUGAUCCAGCAAUGCGGCGUGAGUGAAUAAGGUCUUCGGUUUGUAAAGCACUUUAAGUUGGGAGACGUUACCAACAGAAUAAGCACCGGCUAACUACGUGCCAGCAGCCGCGGUAAUAC